UCUUGUCAAAUCUGUUUGUCUAAAAAUAUCCUAAAAGCUAUUUUCUUGUGUGUACAGGUAUGAAAAAUUAGAUUAAUAGGGUUUUAAUGAAUUUGAUUUCAAAAUAAUUAUAUAAAAAGUAAAUUUAGAAAAACGUUUAUGUAAGACUUAGCAAAAUGAUAUGAAAUAUAUUUUAUAACAUAUGUUAAUAAAUUCAAAGAACACCAAAAAUUCAAAGAACACCAAAAGACGGGGAAAUCCGUUUAAUUAUCUUUUUAAUGUAUCUAACGUUAAUAAUAUAAAGAAAUUAUCACAUUAUGUUGGAAGCGAGCGACAAUGAUAAUGACUUUUUUCAUCUUAAAAAGUGCUAAAUCUGUCGGAUAUCUCCGAUAUUGACAUAUAUAAUAAACCUUUGCAUAUUAACCUUUACAUAACAGUGGUAUGAAUGUAUUGAAGACGGAGGAUUUAGAGCAAGAUAGUUGGAGGAUGGUAUUUAGAGGGACAUCUGGCAAUGGUCAUAGCGUGUAUCAUGCUUGGAUUGACGGAAAGAAUUCAAAUACAGACAAACCAGUUUCCAUGAAACGUUCUCAUGGUUAACACUUUCGGGAUAACAUCUUAGACAACUGGUCAAACCUUGGUAUCAAGCUGGUUAAAUUUGCGUUCUAUGAUACUGACAGAGAGGUAGCGUACGUGAUCUUCAACGGGAUGGACAGCAACAUACACAACUGGUUUGAUAGGAAACGUGUUAUUGAUUCAAGCUGGACAGACCUGACGUAAAAAAGUGUCUUCAACUAUUUCUCUAUUGCAGGUCAUUACAUCGACAAGAUACAUGAUCGUCGUUUCUACAUCAACAGAAAUUAGGCGGAUGUCCAAAUGACCGUGGUCACCUAAUAGUUAUUAAUUCUGCUGUUGCCGCUCCCAUAUGUUUGUUUGACAGCCAGCCAUCCAACGUUUAUGUAUUCAAAGUAUAAUUCGGUCGACUUCUUCCUGAGAAGAAUGUUUGGUAUCGCAUACUUCAUGGUGGUUUUCAUACAGACAAGGGUUUAAUUGACUAAAUGUAAACACCAUAGUGUCAAAAUACAGUAAUUUGUUCAACACUUAUAAGAACACAAACCAUUUGCAAUUGUUAUUUCAAUGACAUUUUUUCUGUUAUUUAAACUGUUUAAUGUAUUGCUGUGUUACGUUUAUGCAAUGUUUCUUUUUUCUGAUGGCAUUUUAUAGCAUACAAAAGUUAGAAUUGUAGGACAGUUAUGUUACUACACCAAUUGUUCACAAAGUCUUCUAUGUAAUGAUCUCGAAUAAAUGCUUAGCAACAUC